AUCUACAGCCAAACCACCCUUAAUGCACUCAAUCACAUCUGAUCCUGAAAAUUAGGUAGGGUUAAGCCUGGUUAGUACUUGAACGGGUAAUAACAUAUAUUCAGGAUUAAACAGAUU
ensembl:rRNA 5S_rRNA 5S ribosomal RNA